rnacentral:tRNA from 1 species
GGUGGCUUGCCCGAGUGGACGAAGGGGCACGCCUGGAGAGCGUGUAGGGGGGCAACCCCCUCCCGGGUUCGAAUCCCGGAGCCACCG